AGAGUUUGAUCAUGGCUCAGAACGUACGCUGGCGGCACGCCUAACACAUGCAAGUCGAACGAAGUAGCAAUACUUAGUGGCAGACGGGUGAGUAACAUGUGGGUAUCUGCCCUUUGGCCUGGAAUAACACGAGGAAACUUGUGCUAAUACCGGAUAAGUCUUUACGGAGAAAGCUUUAUGCACCAUUGGAUGAGCCCGCACUUGAUUAGUUUGUUGGUGGGGUAAUGGCCUACCAAGACUGUGAUCAAUAGCUGAUUUGAGAGGAUGAUCAGCCACAUUGGGACUGAGACACGGCCCAAACUCCUACGGGAGGCAGCAGUGGGGAAUCUUGCACAAUGGAGGAAACUCUGAUGCAGCGAUGCCGCGUGAGUGAAGAAGGCCCUUGGGUUGUAAAGCUCUUUCGUCGGGGAAGAAAAUGACUGUACCCGAAUAAGAAGGUCCGGCUAACUUCGUGCCAGCAGCCGCGGUAAUACGAAGGGACCUAGCGUAGUUCGGAAUUACUGGGCUUAAAGAGUUCGUAGGUGGUUGAAAAAGUUAGUGGUGAAAUCCCAGAGCUUAACUCUGGAACUGCCAUUAAAACUUUUCAGCUAGAGUAUGAUAGAGGAAAGCAGAAUUUCUAGUGUAGAGGUGAAAUUCGUAGAUAUUAGAAAGAAUACCAAUUGCGAAGGCAGCUUUCUGGAUCAUUACUGACACUGAGGAACGAAAGCAUGGGUAGCGAAGAGGAUUAGAUACCCUCGUAGUCCAUGCCGUAAACGAUGUGUGUUAGACGUUGGAAAUUUAUUUUCAGUGUCGCAGGGAAACCGAUAAACACACCGCCUGGGGAGUACGACCGCAAGGUUAAAACUCAAAUGAAUUGACGGGGACCCGCACAAGUAGUGGAGCAUGUGGUUUAAUUCGAAGAUACGCGCAGAACCUUACCAACACUUGACAUGUUCGUCGCGACUCUAAGAGAUUAGAGUUUUCGGUUCGGCCGGACGAAACACAGGUGCUGCAUGGCUGUCGUCAGCUCGUGUCGUGAGAUGUUGGGUUAAGUCCCGCAACGAGCGCAACCCUCACUUUUAGUUGCCAUCAUUAAGUUGGGCACUCUGAAAGAACUGCCAGUGAUAAGCUGGAGGAAGGUGGGGAUGACGUCAAGUCCUCAUGGCCCUUACGUGUUGGGCUACACACGUGCUACAAUGGUAUCUACAACAGGAAGCAAAACUGCGAAGUUAAGCAAAUCCCUAAAAGAUACCUCAGUUCGGAUUGCACUCUGCAACUCGAGUGCAUGAAGCUGGAAUUACUAGUAAUCGUGGAUCAGCGUGCCACGGUGAAUGCGUUCCCGGGUCUUGUACACACCGCCCGUCACACCAUGGGAGUUGGUUCUACCUUAAGGCAAGGCUUAAAACCCUUGACCACGGUAUAGUCAGCGACUGGGGUGAAGUCGUAACAAGGUA
rnacentral:rRNA from 1 species